UACGUAGGGUGCGAGCGUUAAUCGGAAUUACUGGGCGUAAAGCGUGCGCAGGCGGUUCGUUAAGUUCGUUGUGAAAGCCCCGGGCUCAACCUGGGAACGGCAAUGGAAACUGGCGGGCUCGAGUGCGGCAGAGGGGGGUGGAAUUCCACGUGUAGCAGUGAAAUGCGUAGAGAUGUGGAGGAACACCGAUGGCGAAGGCAACCCCCUGGGCUGACACUGACGCUCAGGCACGAAAGCGUGGGGAGCAAACAGG
rnacentral:rRNA from 1 species